rnacentral:lncRNA from 1 species
UGUUUCCGUCCAUCCGUCCAGGUGUCUGCCUGUCUGGGUGCCUGUCUGUCCAUCUGGGUGUCUGUCCUUCUGGAUGUCCACCUGAGCGUCCAUCCGUUCAGGUGUCCUGCUGUCUGUCCGGGUGUCCAUCCAGGUGUCCGUCCAUCUGGGUGUCCGUCCAGGCUCUCUGUCUGUCUGGGUGUCCAGCCAUCUGGGUGUCCGUCCAGGUGUCUGUCCAUCCCAGUUUCCAUUCAUCCAUCGGCACAUGUGUGUCUAUUCUUAUGUCUAUCCAUCUGGGUGUCUCUCUGUCCAGAUGUCCAUGCGUCCAGGUGUCCAUCUGUCUGGGUGUCUGUCCAUCCAGGUGUCUGUCUGUCCAGGAGUCCAUGUGUCCAGGUAUCCAUCCAGAUGUCCAUCCAUCUAGGUGUCCAUCUAGGUGUCCAUCCAUCCUGGUGUCUGAGUGUCUGUCCUUCCAGGUGUCUGUCCACAUAUCUGUCUAUCUGGAAGUCCAUCUAUCCGCCUGCCUGGGUGCCUGCCUGACUGUGCAUCCGUCCGUGUGUCCAUCUAGCCACUCAGCUGUCCGUCUGUCUGUAUGUCCAUCUGGGGGUCUGUGUGUCCAUCUAGGGGUCCAUCCACCUGUGCAUCCGGGUGUCCAUCCCUCCCGCCUCCUGUCUAUCCGUCUGGGGGUCCAUGUGUCCAUCCAGGAGGGACAUGUCUGUCCACCUGUCCGGGACUGUCCCCUGGGGCCAAGGGGUGUCUGUCUGUCUGGUGCCUCCCCCUCCCCCCCAUGCCUCAGUUUCCCCAUCCUCAAAGGGGGCGAAUGACCCUGUCCCCUCCCCAUCCUGGUGGCGGGGACCCACCAAAAUCCCCCUGGGGGCUCUGGAAAGUCCCCAAAUCCCAAGCCGAAACCCUCCAGAGGUUCCAGACUUCCCCUUCUCCUGCGCUGGGGGUGGGAGGAACUGGGGACGCCUGGGCCCUUCCUGCUGACACCCGCUCUCCUUCCGCGCAGGGUGCCACGGCCGCCCACGUGCUGCUCAGCGCUGGCUCGCUGGCAGUGCCCUCGCGACUGGCCUGGCGGUACGAGGAAGGCAUCAAAGGCGUCUUCGUCAGCGGGGACGUGCAGCCGGUGGCGCAGGGGCUGCAGGUGGACGCGGGCGGGCUCUACCUCCUCUACGGCCAGUUCACCCUGGCGUGCACGGAGGCCACGUGUCCCGGCGGCGCCGUGACGCUCCAGGUGCUCCGGGACAAGUCGCCACGGCCGUUGUUAGCCGUUCCAUUGACUUUGACCCCGGGGCCGGGGCCGGCUCACUCGGAGCUGACGCAAGCCGUGGGGCACCUGCAGACCGGUGAUGUCCUCGAGCUGAAGCUGGCCGGUGAGCUGCCCGGGGACAGUUGGCAGCUGGCUCAGGACGACCGUGAGGGCAACUUCGUGGGCAUGAUCCGCAUCGCCACCGACUGA